GGCUAGCCGCCCCGGUAAUAUGGACGGGCUUAGCGUUGUUCGGGAAUUACUGGGCGUAAAGCGUACGUAGGCGGAUUAAUAAGUUAGAGGUGAAAUCCCAGGGCUCAACCCUGGAACUGCCUUUAAAACUGUUAGUCUUGAGAUCGAGAGAGGUGAGUGGAAUUCCAAGUGUAGAGGUGAAAUUCGUAGAUAUUUGGAGGAACACCAGUGGCGAAGGCGGCUCACUGGCUCGAUACUGACGCUGAGGUACGAAAGUGUGGGGAGCAAACAGGAUUAGAUA
rnacentral:rRNA from 1 species